AAUAGUGGUACGCCACAUAUUUCUUUGGCAUAAGAAAAUGAUGAAUUUAAUAAAGUUCGAUUCUGUUAUAAUCGACACCUCAAGUAAGAAAUAUAUUUUGUGAAUUCCGGUUGUUAAGAAUACACCGUGAAAUGUAUAAUAUCAAUAUAAAUCUCAAAUGAUGAAUUGAGGCUCCCCACAUAUUUUGAUAUAUCUAGGCCGGAAGCACAUGGAUUCAAAU
rnacentral:lncRNA from 1 species